ACGUAGGGAGCAAGCGUUAUCCGGAUUUAUUGGGUGUAAAGGGUGCGUAGACGGAAAGACAAGUUAGUUGUGAAAUACCUCGGCUUAACUGAGGAACUGCAACUAAAACUAUCUAUCUUGAGUACUGGAGGGGAAAGCGGAAUUCCUAGUGUAGCGGUGAAAUGCGUAGAUAUUAGGAAGAACACCGGUGGCGAAGGCGGCUUUCUGGACAGUAACUGACGUUGAGGCACGAAAGUGUGGGGAGCAAACAG
rnacentral:rRNA from 1 species